UUGCUCUCACUUUUCCACUCCCCACUCUUUCCUCCACUCCCACACACUCUCCUCCUACCUCUCCCCACGAAAUUGCUGCUCCUCCUAGCUUCAUGGCCGGCCAUGGCCAUGAAAAGCUCUCCAAGAUGAAGCUCUCCCCCUCCCUCAAGCUCCCCCUCUCCAUGAGAGCAUCCCUCUCCUUCUUCUCCCCAAUCCUAGAUGGUUUUCUCUCCUCUUCUUCUUCCUCCCUUGCUAAGUUUGGAUCUUGAUGCAGGUGCAUGUUGGUCCAAGCAUGGAGAAGCUUCACCUACCCUCAGAUCUGAAGUUCUUGACCAAAAUUCGUCCAAAACCUUGCAGGGAUAUUUGGUUUAUACCAUGGUGAUAACCGAGAGAGGCAAUUGCUAAGUUGUGACGCACUCAUACCUCUACUAGAUGCGAACACUUCCGGAGAAGAAGAAGAAGUGGAAUCGGACGGGGAUUUUAUUUUUAUUGUUGGAAUACAUAUUUGAUGGAGUUGAAGAAGUCCAGGGACAAAUAAGCCAACCAAGGCAAGCCAUCUCUUGAUCUCUGAAUGUUGAAUCACAUAUCGUGGUUACUUUGUUGUUAUUCUUGUCUCUCGAUAUUUUUUGUGUGGUAUCUACUUAUGUUGAUGGAGCGUGCUCACCAUGAGCAUGUUGGAUUCUCUUUGACACCUCACCUACCAUCCCCUUUAGGGAAAUGGUGGUAAUUAUCAUGAUCUUGGUGUACCUUCUAAGUGUGAGGGAUAUGCCCACUUAUCUUGUGUGUGUCGACCUCUUGACACCCUUCUUGAACCCCUUGUUGAUGUUCUGCAUACUUACUCUCGAGUAUAUUGAACCCCUUGUUGAUCUUAUGCAUGCAUACCCUAAGCAUGUAUGCCCCCUUGACCAUCUAUAUUAUCAUCUUCUUAGCGGUAUGAUGAUUAACAUCUUGAACCUUGUUGGAUCUUCCAACUUAUGUUGUCCCUAUACAUGCUUAUCCUAAGUAUGUAUGAUCCCCUUAACACCUCAAUUAUCAUCCCCUUAGUGGUAUGAUGGCUAGCAUCAUGUCAUUGUGACUCUUAGUUCCUUCAUAAAACUAUAGGUUGGGAACCCCCUUGGAAAAAUACCUUGUUGAAAAGAAUUUUUGAAAACCUUGGGUGAGUUGGACUUACCCAAGCGUGUGUUUAUGAAAGGAAAUGAUCUUGGCAAAGAUGGUUGAAAAGAAAAUCUUGUUUUCGAAAACUUUGGCGCCUAAGUAUUCACCCGUGACAAUUAACCCGCGCAACCAUAGCUACUCCAACAUGGGCACGGAGCUUAACUUGACGUUUGCUCUUCUUAGCAUGAGGCA